AUGCUCACUUCAGCAGUACAUAUACUAAAGUUGGAACAAUACAUAAAAGAUUAUGUGGCCCCUGCACAUGGGUGACACGCAAAUGUGUGAUGCAUUAAAAAAAAUA